rnacentral:ncRNA from 2 species
UGAUGUUACCAAUCUCAAGGUGCCGUCUGCUAGGGAGACGGAGAAUUGGGAAGCCGGUCAAAAUCCGGCGCUGCCCCCGCAACGGUGGUGGAGUGAGGCAUGGCGAAUAAAGCCACUGGGUCGGCCGACCUGGGAAGGUGCCAUGGGGUCCUGGAAACAGGGCCGCUCCAGAGCCCGGAAACCAGCCUUGGGGAAAUUCGGUUU